rnacentral:ncRNA from 1 species
AUCUUCAGGGCAGGGUGUGAUUCCCUACCGGCGGUAAAGCCCGCGAGCCGAAAGGCAGGAUCCGGUGAGAUUCCGGGGCCGACAGUAUAGUCUGGAUGGAAGAAGAUG